rnacentral:rRNA from 1 species
GACGAACGCUGGCGGCGUGCUUAACACAUGCAAGUCGAACGGAAAGGCCCUGCUUGCAGGGUACUCGAGUGGCGAACGGGUGAGUAACACGUGGGUGAUCUGCCCUGCACUUCGGGUUAAGCCUGGGAAACUGGGUCUAAUACCGGAUAGGAGCCAUUUUUAGUGUGGUGGUUGGAAAGAUUUUUCGGUGUAGGAUGAGCUUGCGGCCUAUCAGCUUGUUGGUGGGGUAAUGGCCUACCAAGGCGGCGACGGGUAGCCGGCCUGAGAGGGUGGACGGCCAUAUUGGGACCUAGAGGCGGCCCAGGCUCCGACUGGAGGCAGCAGGGGGGAAUAUUGCACAAGGGGCGCAAGCCUGAUGCAGAGACGCCGCGUGGGGGAUGACGGCCUUCGGGUUGUAAACUCCUUUCGCGAGGGACGAAGCUUUUUGUGACGGUACCUAGAGAAGAAGCACCGGCUAACUACGUG